AUUUUAUCUGCCACGACCCAGAAGAAUAAUGCUGUGUGCUCCCUCUUUGCCUGCUACUGAACAAUGACGUCUCUUGUUGUGAACCCCACUGGCAGAGCACGGACCAUGGAAGCAUCUUUUGGCAGCACCAGAGAACUGAGCAUCUCAAAGGUCAGGCAUUACAAGUAGAUGUCUCUCAUAGGAAACCUAAUCCAGGUAGAAUAUGAGACAAUCUUGGAGGGUUUUGAUUUUUGCUUGUUAAACAGGUCUCCAAGGAAAUUAUGACCUCAGAGAACAAAAAAGGAUCUAUAGCUUUCAUGAAGAAGGACGCAAGUAGGUGGUAGCCAUUUUGCCUGGGUGAGGUUCACAGUUGGCUCAGGAGACAUCUUCUGAUCAUUAACCACUAAGACCCUGUUAGAAAAAUUUAGUGCAAGAUACAGGGAGUGCAUGGGGCUGUUGACCAGACCUGUGUGAAACACCUGUUCAGGUUAAGUAGAUAUAGCAACCCCUGCAAGAGGGGACUGGGCAGGAGAACCUCAGGCCCCGGGAUAACUUGUUGUCAGCUCCUCAAGGAUCCAUGCUUCUUUUUCUAUCUGGCAGCAUGAGUUCUUCUGUUUCUUCUGCGUGGGUUGACCAUGGGCAUCAGGCAUCAGAGAUACAACUCUGGAUUUUGUCCAUCCAUUGCUGGGCACUCUGUCCAUCCUGGGCGCAGAAGUUAUACACACGUUUGCUG
rnacentral:lncRNA from 1 species